rnacentral:lncRNA from 1 species
GGAACAUUCUAGAAUACAGCACACAUCUCAGUGCCCUGUUGUCUGAGGCAGUAGUGAGCUUCAGGCCUCAGAUGAUGGACACCUAUCUCCUUUCUGAGGAGAGUGAGUGAGCCACGGGUCAUCAAUUCCAUCAUUUACUUCCUGUGUGUGGCUAGGCUCCUCCUUCUGUCAUCCUUCUUCCAAAAGGGAGCCAUUUGCUACCAGUCUUCAGAAUAAAGGAGACAUCAACCAGGGAAUCUAAAAACUUAUAUCCCAUGCCUUUUCUGGGAAAGUUACUACAGAUGUGCUUCAGAAAAAUGAUGAAGAAAAUGAAGAGAAGAGCCUCGAGGACUGUGAGGAAACAAAUUUCUGGUGUUUAAGCGGCCCAGUCUGUGACACUUUGUUACGGCGGCCCGAGCAGACUAACACAACUGGGAAAGAGGUCACAGGUACAAGGGUAGAGGAGAUUGGAGGAGUGAGAACACAGCAGGGGACAAGACCAGAGUAAGAGACUGAUGACGGGGCUAAUGCAAAAUGAAGUGACCAGGUUUAAGGACCUGAAGGAAAGCAGCAACGAUGGUGACGGAGAGAAAGAGACGGAUGUGAGAGACACUGUCAACAAAUCAAAUGGGAUGUGUAAGAGGGUGGAUGUAUUGAAUGAGCAUGAUGGUUGGGACACAGAGGAGUCCCGUUACAUCAAGAGAUGGAUAACAGUCAGUGCACAAGUAGAGCUUGGACUUCCCCAAGAGGCUGGAGAGCAGAGCAGUCCCAGAAAUAACUUGGUACCCUGCUCGGCACCACCAGAGUUGGGAGUCCUCAGCUGCAGACAGGCAUGAAGCCUCAGACCUACAAUGCUUGAUGCUUCAUCAGGCCUUCCCCACAUGGUGAAAAGACGACCACCAGCAGAACCAGGUGUCUACCCUACCAGGGUUGCAACUAAAGCAGGAAGAAAAUGCCACCUUUCCCAGAGUUCCAACCAAGUCCCAAGACUGACCCUCCUGCAUCGUGUGUCCAGCCCUGAGCCAUUCCCCCUGGCCAGACCUGAGUCAUGUGUCUUCUCUCUGGAGCUGGGUGGAGUCACCUCCAUAAACUUUGUGGCCUUGAAUAGGGGAGUGGUAGUAUCCCAAUGCAAAAUCAAAGUGCUGUCAGCAGAAGAAGUGGACAUGGAAGCUGGGCUGACAAGCACAACAGAUGUCCACAGCCAUCUGCAUCCUCUCUUUUCUCUUCCUUUUUCUCAUCCAGAAUAGUAAGACAUGAGGUUGGAAAUGUCUCCCCCAUGAGAAACAUCUUUAGCUCUGAAGGAUUGGGCAUGGCCAGAGAAGAACCAGAUUGAGGAAAAAAAAGCAGCACUUGAGGGCGUGCAGCACACCAGGUACCUGGGGUCGUGGCUACAGAAGCCGCAUGCGUUUUCCUGGCCCUGGAGGUGUACACAGCAGCUGGGGCAUCCGGGAAGACCAGACAAGUGGGCUGACAAUCCUAGGUCCGUGAGAAAGGUCACUCUGGCUGCUGGGAGGAAAAUGAGUUGGAGGAAUGAAGUGGGUCAGACUGAAGACAAAGCCACGGUAGAAAUGGCUGGAGCAAAUGUCAGUGCCCUGCUCACAUCCCCUCACCCAGACCACUCAGAGAGCCCAUUGGCACAUCUACCAGCUGCCAGCACCACCAUCUCUUUGCCUGAGGACCCUCUCUUGCCCCUGUUUUGCAACCCUCACAGUAAGCCAGAAGCAAUGAUUGGUUGGAGUCAGUGUCUAAACAUCCUGGCUUUCUCACCUCUUGGGUGGGAUAGCUCUGAGACAUGUGUCUACACUGGCUUCCAGAGCCUCUCCAAUGGGAUGAAGAGUCAGUUGCUACAGCAAAAGCUGGAAGGCUAAUGUACUCUACAUGGGCUUGCUCCCCUUCUUUGACUCACUUUCCCUCUUGCCUACUUCCUUUGCUUCCCAAAUAAACAAGCUGUACAUGAAUCCUUGUCUCAGAGUCAGGUGCUGGAUGAGCCCAAACCAAGGUUACUAACAGCAGAACCUUUCCUAGAAGUGGUUUUGAUGUUGGGGAGGAGAGGCAAGGCACUGGAGUUCAUAUGAGAACAGGCUUAGGGGAUAAAAGUUUGCCUGUACCUCCCAUUUCAUUCCUUUCUGCUAUAGAAACAUGAAGGACUAAGUGGGAAUUGGGAGAUUCCACCUCAGACACCAUACGUGUCAUCAUUUAGCUCUGCGUGGAAUCCCCCAGAGCCAUGGGAUUGUGGGUAUUAUCUCUGGAGCACAAAGCCCUGCCUUAAGCAUCCUCUGGCACUCUCUCCCAGCUAAUGUAGCAGAAGAAGUCUUAGUGCUUACAUUACCAAUACCCAAGCCCCUGCAGUAGAACCAUUUGUUAGGGCAGAAACCAUAUUCUGGAAGGAAUUCAGUGUUGAAAAAAACCUCCAAG